rnacentral:rRNA from 1 species
UACAGAGGUCCCAAGCGUUGUUCGGAUUCACUGGGCGGAAAGGGUGCGUAGGUGGUCGGGUAAGUUUGAUGUGAAAGCUCCGAGCUCAACUCGGAAAUGGCAUUGAAUACUAUUCGGCUAGAGGGGUGGAGGGGGGACUGGAAUUCUCGGUGUAGCAGUGAAAUGCGUAGAUAUCGAGAGGAACACCAGUGGCGAAGGCGAGUCCCUGGACAACUCCUGACACUGAGGCACGAAAGCUAGGGGAGCAAACAGG